CAUGGUCCUGUUGCUUUAAGAUGGAAGUCUUCUAAGGAAAAGCCACUGAGAUGGUUGGGAGAAUCCAACCAAAUGGAAAAGGUAAUAUUCUUCUAUCCGAUGACUAGGUUCUGAGGCUAGCUCAGGAUUCAUACCUAACAUUUUUACUUUCUUAUUAUAAAGGAAAGCCAAAAGGAGGGCAGACUAUACUCAGAUCUUUCCAAAAGUACGAAUGGGUCAUUGAGAUCAGUCCACCAAUGCUCGGAAUCUCCGGGAUAGACCUAGAAACUAUGAUGGCAACCAGUCAAUCUGUUUUAAUGGCAGGGUAGAGGUGGGGUGAACCCU
rnacentral:lncRNA from 1 species